CUACAGCUUUAACAGGGACACCCAAAUCCGGAGGUAAAGGUCUUCCCAUUCAGUGAUCAAGUCAGAACCCAAAAUAUCCAGCAUGGUGUUGGGACUGAGCUGGGUUUUCCUUGUGGCUCUUUUGAAAGGUGUCCAGUGUCAGGUGCAGCUUGUGGAGACAGGGGGAGACUUGGUGCAGCCUGGAAAUUCUCUGAAACUCUCCUGUGUUACCUCGGGAUUCACUUUCAGUAACUACUGGAUGCAGUGGGUUCGCCAGACUCCAGGGAAGAAGCUUGAGUGGGUUGCUCGAAUUAAGCUCAAAUCUGAUAAUUAUGAAGCAAACUAUGCAGAGUCUGUGAAGGGCAGAUUCACCAUCUCAAGAGACGAUUCGAAAAGCAGUCUCUACCUGCAGAUGAACAGCUUAAGAGAGGAAGACACUGCCACUUAUUACUGUACUAAGCACACUGAGAGGACAACUAUGUGAACAUGGACAAAAACC